rnacentral:rRNA from 1 species
GAUGAACGCUGGCGGCGUGCCUAAUACAUGCAAGUCGAGCGAACGGACGAGAAGCUUGCUUUUCUGAUGUUAGCGGCGGACGGGUGAGUAACACGUGGAUAACCUACCUAUAAGACUGGGGUAACUUCGGGAAACCGGAGCUAAUACCGGAUAAUAUUUUGAACCGCAUGGUUCAAAAGUGAAAGACGGUCUUGCUGUCACUUAUAGAUGGGUCCGCGCUGCAUUAGCUAGUUGGUAAGGUAACGGCUUACCAAGGCAACGAUGCAUAGCCGACCUGAGAGGGUGAUCGGCCACACUGGAACUGAGACACGGUCCAGACUCCUACGGGAGGCAGCAGUAGGGAAUCUUCCGCAAUGGGCGAAAGCCUGACGGAGCAACGCCGUGUGAGUGAUGAAGGUCUUCGGAUCGUAAAACUCUGUUAUUAGGGAAGAACAUAUGUGUAAGUAACUGUGCACAUCUUGACGGUACCUAAUCAGAAAGCCACGGCUAACUACGUG